rnacentral:rRNA from 1 species
CCAUGAAGCUGGAUUCGCUAGUAAUCGCGCAUCAGCCACGGCGCGGUGAAUACGUUCCCGGGCCUUGUACACACCGCCCGUCAAGCCAUGGAAGCCGGGAGUGCCUGAAGUACGCGACCGCAAGGAGCGUCCUAAGGUAAAACCGGUGACUGGGGCUAAGUCGUAACAAGGUAAC